GCCCAGAUGGCGGAAUUGGUAGACGCGCCAGCUUCAGGUGCUGGUGACCGCACGGUCGUGGAGGUUCGAGUCCUCUUCUGGGCACCA
rnacentral:tRNA from 1 species